GAAAUGCGAUAAUUAAUGUGAAUUGCAGAAUUCAGUGAAUCAUCGAGUCUUUGAACGCACAUUGCGCCCCCUGGUAUUCCGGGGGGCAUGCCUGUCCGAGCGUCAUUGCUGCCCUCAAGCACGGCUUGUGUGUUGGGCUUCCGUCCCUGGCAACGGGGACGGGCCCAAAAGGCAGUGGCGGCACCAUGUCUGGUCCUCGAGCGUAUCGGGCUUUGUCACCCGCUCCCGUAGGUCCAGCUGGAAGCUAGCCUCGCAACCAAUCUUUUUAACCAGGUUGACCUCGGAUCAGGUAGGGAUACCCGCUGAACUUAAGC
rnacentral:misc_RNA from 1 species